CAAGCCCGAGUGAGGGAGACCCGGGCACCUGAGAACAGGCAGGGCCGCGCGGGAUGGGGGAGCUGUGCGGUGCAACCAAGAAGCUGGAAGGGAGAAGUUGCUCUGAAAGGCCCAACAGACUGUUUUAGGGGAACUCAGCCGCCGAGGUCACACCUACUGGGCCGCAGCUGAAGACGGGACAUCCGCCUGCUGCAAACAGGGGAAGGAGCCACGGCUGAGGAGCCCCAGCCCACGUGACGGCCCAGCUGCGGGAAGGAAGACAGGCAUCUCCUCCCGCCGUCCCAGACUCGGGAAGGGUAGAAGGACAGAAGCCGGGCCUUGACGGCUGCUCUGCAGAAGAACCAGGGAGUGGAUCUCUUUCCUUGAAUGGGAUGUGCUUCCCGAAGUCGAACCCAAGUUCUUCCAGCGGCAGCACCCCGCCUUUCCAGGGCCUUCUGCCCCUGGCAGGAGAGCAGAAGGGCCCAAUACUUUGACCUUAGGUCUUGAGAAGCCAGAAAUGCUCCUGCUCUCAGCCCCGGCUUCUCUGGGCCACCCCAGCAGGUUCCUCCUUCCCACAUUCCAGAGCCAGCCCCUCCCUUCUGCCCACCGCCUCAAAUCCAGCUCUGCCGACAGACACCCACGGGAGAGUUUUUCCCACAAUCCCCUUCUCUUUGCCCUUUCAAGGUUCUGGUGGGGGAGGGGGUGAAGAGGGACUGUGCCAGGGCCAUGCACACGACAGCAACAUGUAUGUGAACACAGGAUGAAGGAAGAAAAUCACUGAGCUCAGCCCGUGGGACGGACGGGGGAGGGGCACACCCUCCAAGUCUGUGAGCUGCGCCCACCGACCACCCUUCACCGGGCACCCGACACUCGGAGUCCGAAUCUGCCUGCUCGUUAUCCUUCUGCGGUUCCCUCUCGGUGGCCUCUCUGCCCCUUCCAGGGCCUCAUCACUGUCCCAGACAGCUUGGCCUCAGCCUGGACGGUGGCACUGACCAGUCAGGCAAGAGAAGAAUCUAGGCCGGGAAGGGGAGGGAGAGCGGAAGAUGUUUCCUCCCGUCCUACAUAACCCUUGGCAGCAAAGUUGGGGGCUCCAUUGCCCGAUGCCUCUUACUCUCCCCACCAAUGCCAGGGGGCUCAGCCUAUCGUCCACAUUCUGUGCAGAAACCAAGCAUCCUGCUAGGAGGCCCAAGAGGCCUUUUCUCCUCUGAGGAAGCGUGUAUUUCUGUAUGACUCACCCCCAGGGCCCUAAAGCCCCCAUCCCACCAAUCCCAGGAUGACCCCAGAGGACGUCGUGUGAGACCACCCAGAUCCAAGUGUCCCAGCCUCUCCGGUCCCUAGGGAGCACAAGGGAAGGAGGCCCCUGGGUCUCUGGCCAGGCCCUUCCCUUCCAGCCCAAGCCAAACCAGCUGGAGCUAUAGCUUCUCAUCUGUAAAUGGAGAUCAGACCCAGCUCGUGGGGUCCCUGUGUGGGCUGUCAGAUGAGUCCUCUAGUCCACAGCCACCGCUCG